rnacentral:rRNA from 1 species
AACAUUGUUUAUUGAAUAUUUUAAUAAAUAACACCUGCUCAAUGACUUAUUUAAAUAGCCGCAAAUUUUUUGUGCUAAGGUAGCAUAAUCACUUGUUUUUUAAUUUAAAACUAGAAUGAAGGGUAUUACAUUUAAAUUUAUUUAUUAUUGAUAUUUAUUAAAUUUUUAUUAAAUAUAAAAAUAUAUUUAUUUGCAAAAAAGACGAUAAGACCCUAUUGAACUUAACUUAUUGUUUAGCUGGGGCAGCUAAUUAAAUUAAAUUUUAAUUUUAUAUUAUUACUUUUAUAUCCAAUAUAAUUUACUUAAUUAAGUUACCAUAGGGAUAACAGCGUAAUGUAAUUCUAAAGUUCUUAUUUAAAAUUAUGCUUGCGACCUCGAUGUUGAAUUAUUAUCCUUUUUAAACGCAAUAGUUAUAAAAGUAGGUCUGUUCGACCUUUAAAAUAAUACAUGAUCUGAGUUCAAAACCCGGAGA